GGGGUUGUGCCUCAGCGGUAGAGCACUCAUCUAGCACCUGCGAGAUGCUGGGUUCGAUCCUCAGCACCACA
rnacentral:tRNA from 1 species